UGGGGAAUUUUGGACAAUGGGGAAACCCUGAUCCAGCCAUCCCGCGUGUGCGAUGAAGGCCUUCGGGUUGUAAAGCACUUUUGGCAGGAAAGAAACGUCGCGGGUUAAUACCCCGCGAAACUGACGGUACCUGCAGAAUAAGCACCGGCUAACUACGUGCCAGCAGCCGCGGUAAUACGUAGGGUGCAAGCGUUAAUCGGAAUUACUGGGCGUAAAGCGUGCGCAGGCGGUUCGGAAAGAAAGAUGUGAAAUCCCAGAGCUUAACUUUGGAACUGCAUUUUUUAACUACCGGGCUAGAGUGUGUCAGAGGGAGGUGGAAUUCCGCGUGUAGCAGUGAAAUGCGUAGAUAUGCGGAGGAACACCGAUGGCGAAGGCAGCCUCCUGGGAUAACACUGACGCUCAUGCACGAAAGCGUGGGGAGCAAACAGGAUUAGAUACCCUGGUAGUCCACGCCCUAAACGAUGUCAACUAGCUGUUGGGGCCUUCGGGCCUUGGUAGCGCAGCUAACGCGUGAAGUUGACCGCCUGGGGAGUACGGUCGCAAGGUUAAAACUCAAAUGAAUUG
rnacentral:rRNA from 1 species